rnacentral:lncRNA from 1 species
AUUGCCGGAGGCCAGAAAGUAAGACAAAUAACAGCUCACCUGCCUGGCUUGUUGGAGCAACAAGAAACUUUAAGAGCAAUCCUCCAUUUGCCAGGGGAAGAUAACUGGAAAGCUGAGCUGGAGUUUGAAAGACAAGAUGUAUUUCAAACUUCCCUUGAACUUUCUCCAGUAAGUAUAAUUGUGUGCUUGUUGUCAACCCGGCCUUAGUCCUUGUCAUUACAGGUUCAGUAGCUGCAAAGGUGAAAUGUUUUGACAAAUAUUGAACGUCAUCUAUUUUAUACUCUGGAUCAGCAUGGAUGUUUUUUAGCUUCUUCAGACGGCUCUGUAAUGGAGUUAUAUUUGGAAGUUUCCCAGUAUGGUGCAAAAAGCCUCAUAGAGAGAGGAAGUUUAUAAACUGCAGUUCUACGCGAAGAAGAAAGACCAGAUGCUCAUCCUGCAUGACUCCUCCUUGAGCCUUUGUAUUUUCCCAGCUAGACCUUUCAGGCUUCCUAUUUAUACAUUUAUCUCAAGUAUACCGAGUGGUGACAAAGAUGCGAAUCGGCCAGCACAUUUUCACUCAGUGUAGAGAGAAGCCAUUUAAAGACUGAGAUAACAUUUCAAGAAAACAAUAAAACCUGACAAUAAGGGAAGAUGAGAAAAAAGGAACAUUCCUGACUGUGGUUCUGACAUUCACAA